UCCUUGAGGUUCUUUCUCUGCUGCUUUGUCUUCAUGCAGGUCUAAUCUGCUCUCCAAAAAGCAGUGUCAGGGUUUGUAUUUUGGCAAACUUCAUGAGGAUUAAAGUUGGCCCAGUAAGCCAAAAGGCACAGAGUUGUAGGGCGUUGUAGAGCGUUUGUUCUUCUUCAGUCGUCAUGACCUUUGUUGUGUCAGAUCGGACACGCUCCAACCGGGAAUUGGUCCAUGUUUCCUGUUGUUGAGAAAAGAAAAGGGUUAUGUUAAAGACAAAGUUUAUGUUGCACCACUUCCAGCAAAUAUCGAUGACAUGAAAGAUGGAAUAACAGCUGCAAUCAACACGGUGGAGCACAACAUCCUGAGGCGCGUUUGAGAAGAAUUCUCAUAUCGGCUUGAUGUCCGUGCGGCCGGUGGUGGCCACAUUGAGCACUUGUGAAACAUGAAAUAAAAACGAGAAGACAGGUGAUGCAUUGUAGAGGUGGAUGGCGUGUGGAAUGAAUGAAGUCCUGCAGCGUUCACUGUGGGAAUGGAACUGGAGGAGUCUGUUGGAAAAUGAGCUCCGCUGCCCCUCUAUUGUCCGAUGGAGUUACGGCCGCAAUAGUAGCCCAUAUUUUUAUGAGGGACUUUUAUUCUGAAUAUUGCGCCUAU